rnacentral:rRNA from 1 species
CAUGCCGUAAACGAUGAGUGCUAAGUGUUAGGGGGUUUCCGCCCCUUAGUGCUGCAGCUAACGCAUUAAGCACUCCGCCUGGGGAGUACGACCGCAAGGUUGAAACUCAAAGGAAUUGACGGGGGCCCGCACAAGCGGAGGAACAUGUGGUUUAAUUCGAUGAUACGCGAGGAACCUUACCCGGGAUUGAACGUAAGUGGAAUAACGUCAAAAGAUGUUAGCUAGCAAUAGCCACUUACGAGGUGC